UACAGAGGGUGCGAGCGUUAAUCGGAAUUACUGGGCGUAAAGCGCGCGUAGGCGGCUUUGCAAGUCGGGUGUGAAAUCCCCAGGCUUAACCUGGGAACUGCAUUCGAGACUGCAUUGCUAGAGUAUGGGAGAGGGUCGUGGAAUUCCCGGUGUAGCGGUGAAAUGCGUAGAGAUCGGGAGGAACACCAGAGGCGAAGGCGGCGACCUGGACAGUUACUGACACUCAACUACGAAAGCGUGGGGAGCAAACAGG
rnacentral:rRNA from 1 species